AUGGAGAAAGGCGCACAGCAGCUGCCCAAAAGUGCAGAGAGUCCGAUGGAGGACAUCUCCAAAAUCCCCGACGAGGAGCUGCUGAAGUGGGGCAAAGAGGAGCUGGUGCGGCGGCUGCGGAGGGCAGAGGCGGAGAAGAGGGGCGUCAUCGUGGAGCACGGAAAUCUGAUGCGGGAGGUGAACCGGAGGCUCCAGCAGCAUCUCAACGAGAUACGGAGUUUAAAGGAUGUGAACCAGAAACUACAGGAGGACAACCAGGAGCUGCGGGACCUGUGCUGCUUCCUGGAUGACGACCGGCAGAAGGGGAAGCGAGUGUCGCGGGAGUGGCAGCGUCUGGGUCGCUAUAGUGCCGGCCUGAUGAGGAAGGAAGUGGCCAUCUACCUGCAGAAGCUGAAGGAGCUGGAGCAGCGGCAGGUGGAGGUCAUCUGGGAGAAUCUGGAGCUCAAGGAGGUGUGUCUCAUGCUGGAGGAGGAGAGGGCUGUGGCUGGUGGAGGAGGGGGAGGUGGUGUGGGCGGGCAGGGAGGCCCUGGCUGCAGGACCUCCAUAGACAGUCAGAGUAGUCUGUCUCAGCUGGGUGGAGGCGUCCCUGCGCCUGGCUUGCUGCGGGACGUUGGCGAUGGGAGCAGCACCUCCAGUGCAGGGAGCACAGACAGCCCGGAUAACCCCCACAACAAACCUCCUUCCUUGGGCUCCAGUGCCAGUCCCGGAUCCGGGUCGAGAUGCAUCUCCUCAGAGCAGCCAAGAGACGUAUGUGAAUCCACCGGCAGGAGGCACAGCUCCACCCCAGAGUACCACACCUUCCCCCAGUCCUGCCGCCCCCGUGGAGGCUCCCUCACCAACCUGGACCCACGUGGCCUUCGAGGACACAGCCCCGAAAAACACAGCAAGUCUCCCACCAGGCUACCGUGCGACACCUACUCCAAACCCUGUAGCCCUGACCUACUAGCCCAGAAACAGCUACUGAUGUCAGGGCAGGCAUCACCAGGAAAGGGCUCGGCGAAGUCCAGCCCAGAGCUGAGUCAGAGACAUCGGCAGGUGAACACGGUGGGGGCUGGCUGUGGGAGUCCUGAGGCCAAGCAGGCCGCAAUGGGGACCCCAGAGUAUCUGAGGAAAGGGCGGGUGAUUGUAGGGAGUCCAGAGUCUAUCCGGCACCACCACCAUUAUCAGCACAGCCCUGGGGUGGAGCACGGCAAUGGGAGGUACAGCAGUGGCUCCCCUGGCAGGGAUGGAGGCCAGAGGAGGGCAGCAGGAGAAGAGAUGACCCCCCACCACCAGAGUCUGUACAACGGUAGGCACAUGCUCUGAUAUCUGCUGGCUGCUGCACCAACUCCUGUAGGAGUGUGAAGCUUUGGGACAGCUUCGAUGCCUCCUGACCACGACAUGCCUCCUGAUCAUAUGCUGCUGUGACAACACACACCCAGGUGAGAGAGAGAGAAGGAAGGAUGCGCAACUGGGUGGACAAACGAUGCUGAGAAUCAAAAUGGAGCAGUAAAAGGCAGGUGGGGAAGCAGACCAGUGAAACAAAGGCGACAAAGUGGCAAAAGACUGGAAACACUCAGGCGCUCUCUCUGCACUGUCUGCUGCUGCUGCUGCUGCUACUGAUGCUGCUAUGCAUUUUCUGAGGACCACCGGAGAAGACUGAAUGUCAUUGUCUGGACGGGUGGAGGCUCGUCCCUGUAUUACCAAAAGGAAGAGAGGAAAAUAAAUAAGACAGCUCAUAGUUUUUGUGUUGCCAACAAUAUAAGUCCUACCUCUUUGGAAAGACAGAUUCCUCUUGCUGAGAGAAGCUCUGCAUGAAGAGCAACUUCUCCUGAUGAGACUGGAGGUUACAGCCCUGCUAUCACACCAGUGAUCAUUUGAAACGAAACUGUUUGGAAACCAACUUGUGAUUAUGGUAACUACUUUUACAUAGUGGAGCUGGAAGUAAAGCACAAAAGGAGUUACUAAGUUAUUUUACGCUUCAAAGAAGGCAUUUUCUAAGGAGUAUUCGGAUAGUUUUGGCCAUCAUUCUUAGCAGUUAUAAUCAUUUUGUACUUACCAAACUAAUCACUGAGAUCUGGGGCACUGGAGAAGUCCAAAAGGGAGCGAAGUGUCACAAAUGAUCCGAUAGGUGGCACACAAUAGAGUCUAGCCAGUGUGUUUUGUAGGUGAAUAUAGUCUGUAAUGCGUCUUUAAUCUUGCCUUGGGAAGGUGAGGCACAACUACAUGCAUCCACUGAGGCCCAGCAGCAGGCAGCAGGCAACAACUGGGCCGGUCUAUGCUAGGCUCUUUAGCAGCUGCAUAUUAUGCCGUUUUUAGCUCCUAGAACAUUUGCAACUAGUACCUGAAUCUCAGAUACGUCAUUUUUCCUAUUCAUAUUAUUCAUAAAGUCAUUAAUAAGAGUAAUGAUAAAUUAGAGCUAUAUCAAGGCAUUUAUAAAUAUUGUAUCUGCUGUUUGUGACUAUAAAAACUGAAAAAAAUGAGAUCUCCUCAAAGUCAUGUUGUAGUUCACACACUAGUUAAGUACUCAGAACAAAUUUAUGUCCCAGCAACAUGGUGAAUACAUGUACAACAUUAUUGUCACUGAUAUAAGUGAUGGUCAAAACUAUUAUACUUUAAAUACCUUCACUGACCAAACAGUUUUCCUCUGUGAGCAUACAGUCAGUUUGGAAUUACAAUCACGCAGUUAAUUCAGCAGUUACCAGUACAGCUCGAGUUUAUAUCCAGUUUGAUUAAAAAAAGCAAAAAAAAAGCUAUUAGAGUAACAAAUCAAUUCCAGCUGCUGUAUUUGGAGGUGUGUGUAGGAUCUGUGUGAAAUGUUGUUCCUGUGUAGGACGUGGGGGGAAUUUAAAUAUGUUCUUGUUUAGGGGAGAAGAAAAGGUUUGCUGAUUCUCUGCUCCUUGUUUAGCUUUUGUGUCGAGGACUGUUCCUAUACCAACAGUGUUAUAGUAUUCUAAACCUUGUGUCAACGUUCAGUCAUAUAUAUGGUGCUGUGUGUGUGUGCUUGUCAUUUUCCACACUCCUGGGUAUCUAGCUGUGGAUAACAUGAGUUGAGCAACAUUUUAUUUUCAUACAGUGAAAAGACAACGAGUUAGAGAUGCCAGAAAACACAGACAGAUGAGGAAAGGAUUGUUUUGAUUUCUUUAAAUCAUAUUUUCAUUCAUCCUCCUCUAAUAGGAAAUAUCAAAUACUUCUGUACAAAAAGGUUGCAAAAAUUGCGAUACAGUAAUUGGAUGGACUGCUUUACACCUUUGAUCCUCAGCAUCUCUCUCUAGAGCUUUAAAAAGAUGAAAACAAUGAUUUCAUGUUGACACUUCAGAGUUUAUCUGGAGGAGUCAUCUAUUAUAAACUACCAAAUGUACAUCAUAUACACUCAGAAACUACUGAGCUACAUUUUAAUUGCCUGUUAUUAACACAAGAUGGUCCAUUUUUGUGAAGAUUUUCCAUUUUGAAAAGUGAAAACCUUUAUCAAAAUUAUACAAAUUAGUCCUUUUGGUCUUACCACGAAGCCACUAGGUAUAUAUAACUGCUAUGCGUACAUUUAAGGCACAAGGUAAGAAUUAUUUUCCAUUAUUCAGUGAACUGAGAAUUAACUUUAAAGAACUACAGCUGAAAAAUGGCAACUUUUAAUUGCUGUAGUUUAUUUAGAUGACCAUCUAAGCUAAAUUUCUAUUUUAAAAUUGCAUACAAUUUCUGUAUAAAAUAAUGAAUUAAUCAGUCCAUUGGUUGCAUAAAUGUGUGCACAGUCCUGGUUUUCUGUAGUACAGGUUUGUUUUUACUUCAGAUUUUAGGACAGAUAUAAGAGCUAUUUUUUUGUGGAUGGCUUCUUGGUUUUAGUUUCAUUUAAUGAAUUAGUUCUCCCAUAUACAAACAUGUUAGAAAUUUAGUGUUCAACUCCUUGCUUUUAUAGAGGAAAAUGGAACUGAAAGCUGAGACACACCAUAUUCAAGGCCGAAACUGACAAAAAAUUACUUUCUGAGUUAGCUGACGGUUGUAUCAAAAAUGGCUUAUAAUAGAGAGCCGCCGCACUGCUGCAGUGUUCUGUGACAGGAAGCUCAUUGUCAGCAGGAUUUCAAACAGGAAAUGACCGUUUUCCUUUUCUUUAAAAGCAGAGUGCAGGAUUUUCACCACCAGAUUAAAUGAUCAAGAUGUGUUGUCCUUAUGGAAGUGGAUGCUUGGAUGUAGGGAAAAUGGGACGUUUAACUUACACGCAGUGACUCACAAUUAUAUACACAUACAGACAUCCACUCAUACUGUAUACAUUUAUCCUGUAACCAUCCUGUAUAACCUCUUCACCCUGUGAGUUUUUCUAGAUUUGGUGGCAAAUGAAACAAGACAGGAAUACGAUACUAUAUUAUCAAAGACCUUUAUGUUUUUAAAAAGUCAAGAGUAGUAUAUCUGCUUAGUUUUAUAAAUAUAUAACUACAGUUAUUAUUUUUGACUUCUUGGUAUUAUAUAACUAAUUAUUAUAUCCAGAGAUGUAUGUAUAAGCUAAUAAAUUGUCUUUAUGUAAAAAUUA